GUGUGUACUGAAAGGUCUCCUAAUUUUAAGAUUUCAAAUUUAAUAAAUUAAUUCAAUCCAAAAUUGACUACUAUAGCCUUGUUUUAAAUGGAAAAACCUAUACUAAAUAGUAAAAAGUACAUUUUCUCCCUACCUUUUAAGAGGCACAGGCUUGCACCUCUCACCUCAUGAGAGGUGCUCGCCUAAACACAACAAGUGAGCGCCCCGCCAAACACAUGCUACCUGAUUUGUCUAGGCACAGAGGUGUUUUCUCCCAACGCCUAGGCAAGCCCAUUUGACUACAUAAAUAAAAUUAAUAUGUUUAAAUGUUCUAAUAUUUUGGAAGCUCAUAAACAGAAAAUUUCUAGUUAGGAACGCUUAGUUUUAAAGCAUUUACAUAAACACUAGAAGGAGGAGAAAGGGCAGUCUUGCAUAAAUAUUCCUUAAAGAAACUAAUAGAAAAUCAACUCUUUAAUGUGCCAG
rnacentral:misc_RNA from 1 species